rnacentral:rRNA from 1 species
GACAGAGGAUGCAAGUGUUAUUCGGAUUGAUUGGGCGUAAAGCGUCUGUAGGCGGUUUGGAAAGUCUUUUGUGAAAUUCUUCAGCUCAACUGGGGGUCCGCAAAAGAAACUUCUAAGCUUGAGGGAAGUAGAGGUAUAGGGAAUUUCCGGUGGAGCGGUGAAAUGCGUAGAUAUCGGAAGGAACACCAAUAUGGCGAAGGCACUGUACUGGGCUUUACCUGACGCUAAGAGACGAAAGCUAAAGGAGUGAUUAGGAUUAGAUACCCUAGUAAUUUUAGCCGUAAACGAUGGAAACUCACUGCCGAGCCGGUAUUCGGAGCGGUGGUCAAGCUAACGCGUGAAGUUUCCCG